CACCUGCGUUCCACGGGGGUCGCGGGGUGCGCAUGCGCUGGGCGGCGCCAUCUCGACGCGCUCCGUGACGUCUGCAAGUGUCGCUGCGCAUGCGCAGUGUGCAGACGUGGAUGCGCUGAGAGAUGGCGCCGCGUACCAUGGAGCUUCCCGCGCCCGUUCGUGUGGUCCGCAGAUGUGCCGCAUCCAGGUAAUUUUUGUCCAUCACCCCACCCCUACCAUAUCCUAUAUAUACCCUGCCUAUGCAUCACUAAGUACCUCCUGACGAAGCCGUUGAGGUGAAACGCGCGUCGAGGUCUCGCGCCCAGGGCCUGUCAUUCAUCUUGCCACCAUGUCUUCAGGUACGGUCUGCCUUAGCAUGUGUUA